CAACUGCAUGGCUGGGACUGAAGACUGGGAUUCUGCCUUCAUACCCUAACAGAUGCCAGGGCCCUGGAUCUGGACCAACAAACGUGACUGAAACCUUUACUGCAUUCUUGUCUGGAUGGGCAAACCAACAGUACAGGAUACAAUGAAAGAUCAAAAGGAGUUGAAGAUUGAAAGAAAGACUAUAACAAGAAGUUUUUAAGAGGAAACACCAUUUGCUUUAUUUCUUUUUAUCCUCCAUGACUUCAACAUCAUUCUCCCUUACACUGCCAGACUUAGAAUUAAGCCUGCUUGUAUCACUAAAGACAUGUUUGAGUUAUGACAUCUACUAACCUUUAGAAAACCCACUGCCUGAAGUCUGAAAAUUAUUCUCUUGUAAUGUACAACAUACAAAAUAUGUAAAUGAAAUAAAAGAAAUAUACGUAGUACAGAGCCUAC